GGGUUGUGAGGUUAAGCGACUAAGCGUACACGGUGGAUGCCCUGGCAGUCAGAGGCGAUGAAGGGCGUGCUAAUCUGCGAUAAGCGCCGGUAAGGUGAUAUGAACCGUUAUAACCGGCGAUACCCGAAUGGGGAAACCCAGUGUGAUUCGUCACACUAUCAUUAACUGAAUCCAUAGGUUAAUGAGGCGAACCGGGGGAACUGAAACAUCUAAGUACCCCGAGGAAAAGAAAUCAACCGAGAUUCCCCCAGUAGCGGCGAGCGAACGGGGAGGAGCCCAGAGCCUGAAUCAGCAUGUGUGUUAGUGGAAGCGUCUGGAAAGGCGCGCGAUACAGGGUGACAGCCCCGUACACAAAAGCGCAUGUGCUGUGAGCUCGAUGAGUAGGGCGGGACACGUGGUAUCCUGUCUGAAUAUGGGGGGACCAUCCUCCAAGGCUAAAUACUCCUGACUGACCGAUAGUGAACCAGUACCGUGAGGGAAAGGCGAAAAGAACCCCGGCGAGGGGAGUGAAAAAGAACCUGAAACCGUGUACGUACAAGCAGUGGGAGCCCCACCACUAAGCCAGUGGUGAACUCCACAUACGCAUCCUUUGCUGAGGAUACGGUUAACGGAGCGAAAGCGACGUUCAACCUCAAAAGAAGCAGAGGGGGCUUAGUGGUGGGGUGACUGCGUACCUUUUGUAUAAUGGGUCAGCGACUUAUAUUCUGUAGCAAGGUUAACCGUAUAGGGGAGCCGGAGGGAAACCGAGUCUUAAUUGGGCGUUAAGUUGCAGGGUAUAGACCCGAAACCCGGUGAUCUAGCCAUGGGCAGGUUGAAGGUUGGGUAACACUAACUGGAGGACCGAACCGACUAAUGUUGAAAAAUUAGCGGAUGACCUGUGGCUGGGGGUGAAAGGCCAAUCAAACCGGGAGAUAGCUGGUUCUCCCCGAAAGCUAUUUAGGUAGCGCCUCGUGAAUUCAUCUCCGGGGGUAGAGCACUGUUUCGGCUAGGGGGCCAUCCCGGCUUACCAACCCGAUGCAAACUGCGAAUACCGGAGAAUGUUAUCACGGGAGACACACGGCGGGUGCUAACGUCCGUCGUGAAGAGGGAAACAACCCAGACCGCCAGCUAAGGUCCCAAAGUCAUGGUUAAGUGGGAAACGAUGUGGGAAGGCUCAGACAGCCAGGAUGUUGGCUUAGAAGCAGCCAUCAUUUAAAGAAAGCGUAAUAGCUCACUGGUCGAGUCGGCCUGCGCGGAAGAUGUAACGGGGCUAAACCAUGCACCGAAGCUGCGGCAGCGACGCUGAUGCGUUGUUGGGUAGGGGAGCGUUCUGUAAGCCUG
rnacentral:rRNA from 1 species